rnacentral:rRNA from 1 species
UACGGAGGGUGCGAGCGUUGUCCGGAAUCACUGGGCGUAAAGGGCGCGUAGGUGGCCCGUUAAGUGGCUGGUGAAAUCCCUCAGCUUAACUGGGGAACUGCGUCUGAUACUGGAAAGCUUGAGUGCAGGAGAGGAACGCGGAAUUCCAGGUGUAGCGGUGAAAUGCGUAGAUAUCUGGAGGAACACCGGUGGCGAAGGCGGCGUUCUGGACUGCAACUGACACUGAGGAACGAAAGCCAGGGGAGCAAACGGG